GACGAACGCUGGCGGCGUGCUUAACACAUGCAAGUCGAACGGAAAGGCCUUGCUUUUGUGGGGUGCUCGAGUGGCGAACGGGUGAGUAACACGUGAGUAACCUGCCCUUGACUUUGGGAUAACUUCAGGAAACUGGGGCUAAUACCGGAUAGGAGCUCCUGCUGCAUGGUGGGGGUUGGAAAGUUUCGGCGGUUGGGGAUGGACUCGCGGCUUAUCAGCUUGUUGGUGGGGUAGUGGCUUACCAAGGCUUUGACGGGUAGCCGGCCUGAGCGGGUGACCGGCCACAUUGGGACUGAGAUACGGCCCAGACUCCUACGGGAGGCAGCAGUGGGGAAUAUUGCACAAUGGGCGGAAGCCUGAUGCAGCAACGCCGCGUGCGGGAUGACGGCCUUCGGGUUGUAAACCGCUUUCGCCUGUGACGAAGCGUGAGUGACGGUAAUGGGUAAAGAAGCACCGGCUAACUACGUG
rnacentral:rRNA from 1 species